AUAGGUGGCCGGUGGGUACUGGGCGUAGGCCGGGCUGGCCGGCGUGUACUCAAUGUAGGGCGAGGACAGCGACGGGACAGGGGCGGCUGGGAUCACCACGCUGGGCUGCACGAUGGCUGGUGGGUAGAUGUAGUGCGGGGUCAGCCUGUGGGGCCAAGCAGAGCAGGUUAGGGCCAGAACGGAGUUGGGGAAUACAGCUGGGAGAACAGUGGGGUACACGAUGCGUGCCGCCCCCCACCCCGAGCCCCGACUUUCCUCAUCGGUCAGAUGGGCACAGAAACAGCACCUGGCCAGAUGCUGCCGCCUCAAGGCCUUCGCACUGACUGUCUGCACUAACCACCAGGCUCCCUCCUCCACUCCAUGUCUCCUUCUCAGCAAGGCCUUCCCAGACUGCACCCCCGCAUCCCAGCCCUACACCCCACAUCCCCGGAGCUGGUGCAAAAAUAAAAAUCUUGAAUGGUUGUUUUCAAAUGAUUGAGAGUUUGAAGCCACGACGGCGGAGCAUGCGAUCAAGAGCAGGGCCCGGUACGAAUGUCCUGGUUGCAUGUCUGGGAGGCCAGCCCUGUCCCCCUUCCCUGCUCAUCUCCCUGACACUCAACACCCACCAAGUGACACUGCACACUUGGCUCAUGUACACGCCUGCUCUCCCAGCCAACACCUGCUCCUCACAGGGUUUGUUUUUUUUUUUUUUUUUGAGACAGAGUCUCGCUCUGUUCCCCAGGCUGGAGUGCAGUGGCGGGAUCUCCGCUCACUGCAAGCUCCGCCACCCGGGUUCACGCCAUUCUCCUGCCUCAGCCUCCUGAGUAGCUGGGACUACAGGUGCCCGCCACCACGCUCGGCUAAUUUUUUUGUAUUUUUAGUAGAGAUGAGGUUUCACCGUGUUAGCCAGGAUGGUCCCGAUCUCCUGACCUCAUGAUCCGCCCACCUCGGCCUCCCAAAGUGCUGGGAUUACAGGCGUGAGCCACCGUGCCCAGCCCUCACAGGGUUUCUUUCUGUCCCUGCCAGCAUGGACUCUGGCCUGCAGCAGCUCCGUGAGGAUGUGAGAGUGACUGCGUGAAUGCUGGAGCAAAGGAGUGCAAUGGCGGUGACCACAGAGAUGAUGGCGCCAACAGCUGCCAUACUCGCCAGCGCCCACGCUGGGGGGAGACCCGUACUGUGACUGGGUGCGUCACCCCGUCGGCUUGGUCUUCCCAUCAUGAGGCCCAUUUCACACACGGGGCCAGGUGAGUUGCCCAAGGUCCUACAGCUGAUGAGGUGGAGGGGCCAGGAGUCAGCCGGCCUCAGAGCUGUGCUCUUAACCCUACCUGGGCAGGCCACUGUGGAAACGCAUUGAGGCCAACACUUCCUGCCUGCUGUGGGCUGGCCAUACAACAGCAUGCCCAGCCCUCAGCACAGGGGGAAAUGAGGCUCAGGGAGGCAGCUCUCCUGGCGUGUGCCUGCUCUGCCAACCAGCUGCUCGGUGGCCUGGGGCAAGCCGCUAAGCCUCAGUUUCCCGUCUGCAACAGAACAGCCACCUCCGCGGCAUCAGAAGCUGCUGCAGAGUCCGAGGCACGGAGUGGUCUUCCAGGGCACGGCACUGUGCCCUGGGCAUCAGUAUCUCCUCUGCCUUGCACGCCUGCGUGUUACACAGGCCAGGCCCGCCUGGGGGGUGACUUGGAACCUCAGCUUCCUUCUGACCUGUAGGCAGGGGCCCCCCUCAAGGGAAGCAGCUCUGGAGAAAAAGUACAACAUCCUUCCCUGCAUUCUCCUGCGUUCGGCAGGGACAGAAACUGGGCAGCUUUCUGGAGCGCGGUUUGGCAACAUGUGGGCACUGAAAACACAGUGCUCCCUCCCCAGAGCCAGGGACCCUCAGUGUCAGAGAGGAGCCCUGCGAGCUCCCUCCCCAGAGCCAGGGACCCUCAGGGUCAGAGAGGAGCCCUGCGAGCUCCCUCCCCAGAGCCAGGGACCCUCAGGGUCAGAGAGGAGCCCUGGCUUCCAGCACAAAGGCAGGUGCACUCAGUGGAUCCUGCAGCCCUACAGCAACGGUGGAAACCAGGAAAACCUGGACGACAGGGCCUCUUGCUCCCCCCACCCCAUCUGGGAAGUGUGUGGGAAGUUUCUACACUGCGUCACCCUCUCUACUACUGUUUACCUUCCAAGGUUGAGCCAUCCUAGUGGCUGCUGUGGCCACACCUGCAGCCCACACGGCCAACCCUCCACAGCAUCUGUCCAGAGGCCCAGGCAGCUCCUGCCAGGAACCCCGCAGUGGCGCCUCCUGUCCCUCUCCCCAGGUUAGAAGCCUCUGCUGUCCACCCUGCAUCCUCCAUGGGAACAAGGGCCUCGCGCGGAGCCAGGCCUGGGUUUGAAUUCUGACUCUCGAGCUGUGACGCCUUUCUCACAUAUCUGCCAGGAUGCAGAGAGGAGCAGACCACAGAGCCCCUGCCCUCGAGGGGCUUAGCUUCUAGGAUGGGAGAGGCACCAAAAUGCACCAACCCAUAAACCAGAGUGGGGGGCUCAGGGGAAGUCAAGACAGCAGAGGGCUGUGAUGUGUGGACAGCGAUGGGGGAAAGGCCAGGGUGGCUUCUUGAAGGAGGGGAUGCCUGCAGAGACCUAAUGAUGAGGCAGAGCUGGCCACAGGGGAGCAGCAUGGCGGCACAAGGGCGGAGGCAGGCGCCAGUCUGAGUGUCUGAAGAGUGGAUGAGGGCAGCCGGCAGCCUCUGUGCACAACCCUCUCGUGGCACCUCCACCAUGGGGGCGGCCGGGUCUGCUGACCCCUGGCUUCCACUGCACACCCAGGUCCACCCUGGUGCCGGCCCAUGCCCCACAGCGCCUCAAUCCCUCGCAUCCUCCCCACCUGGGCCUGGCACCUGCCAAUGCCUCUGCCUGGAGCCCUUAACCUGGCGAGGCCCAACCCCACAUGGAGGCCAGCCCCUCACCUCGCUACGCUGCCCGAUGCCCCACUGGAUGGCGUUCUGUCAGGGAGAUGGCUCUGUCUGGACUCCCAGCUCUCUGCCAGGACCAGGCCUGUAGGAGGCACUGGGCACAUGGUGCUGACGGAACAAAGGCCCGGUGGGUGGCACAGACCCCACUGAGAAGGAUGAGGAGCUCUGGCCAGCGGAGGCAGGGGGCCCCAGAAGGGUCUCGGAGGCCUCCCUUGGGAAGGGGGCGAGUGGAGACACAGCAAGGACUGUCUUGGGGCUGUGCCCAGCAGGCUGUCCCUGGCAUCAUCAGUGCCCCCCCGACCCAGCUCUCAGAACCUCGAAAACAUUCCUUAGUAGGAGGCUAUGGAAGCUUUGAACCCACACACCUUCUCCAAACAUGGGCAGUGAUGCCCCUGCCUCAGACAUCUCCCCGCAAGGUUUUGCUAAAAAUGUGGAUCCCAUGCAGACUGCAAAGGCAGAUGGGGCCCAGGAAUGUGCAAGAACAGGCCCCGGGGUCCUGAUCCACAGCUGCAUUCAAGAACCGCUGCCCAGACCAGGGACACAGAACACAAGUGCCUGGGGCUGUGGGGCAGCUGGGUUCCGGCCACACUCACCUCGAGGGCUGCGUCAUUUCUAUCGGGUUCUGAUGCCCCACAUCAUCGGGGCCAGAGCGCUGCCUUGGCCACCAAGGAGCUGCCCUACUCAGGGACACUCAAACACAAGCGUGGGUGAGCAAUGUUUAGGCUGGGGAGGAAGGCGGGGCUCUCCUGUUUCCUGACCCUUGCAGACACUGCAUGUCGGUAUCUACUCAUCUUUCUGUACGUAAAGGGCCUGGGAUAACUUACGAAGCAUUUUCAAAGCCACGGAAGGCUGGGCGCAGUGGCUCACGCCUGUAAUCCCAGCACUUUGGAAGGCUGGGGCGGGCAGAUCAUGAGGUCAAGAGUUCAGGACCAGCCUAGCCAACAUGGCGAAGCCCUAUUUCUACUAAAAAUACAAAAAUUAGCCAGGUGUGGUGGCGGGAGCCUGUAAUCCCAGUUACUCGGGAGGCUGAGGCAGGAGAAUCGCUUGAAACCAGAAGGUGGAGGUUGUGGUGAGCUGAGAUCAUGCCACUGCACUCCAGCCUGGGCGAAAGAGCAAAACUCUGUCUCAAAAAAAAAAGCCAUAGAAAAGAUGCUAGUGUUAGCCCAUCUCCCAGAGAGGAAAUCCGAGGUUCAGAGAGGCCCCAAGCGACUUGCCCCAUCGCAGAGCAAGGGACUGGUACAGUGGGGCCUGCUGCUGGUAGCUGUGCCUGCAAGGACUGGCUGGGGCCCCAGGUUCAGCUCAAAAUAAAAGGAAGGCACAGCACGGGCCACACCUCAAGCCCCAAGGGGGAGUGAGAACACCGGCUGAAGUUAAGGUAGAAGCAGCCACGAAGCCCCGCCAGGCAGGAGCUGGGUUCCAGCAGCUUCUCUCCCUCCUAGGGUUGCGCCUCGCCCCUGCACUUGUCUGAGUUACCAAACAGGUUUCAAAACUUCCAAGGCGCAGUUUCCUCAUCUGUAAGUUGGGUCCUACAGAGGCUGACCUCAAAAGCUUGCUGUGAGGCCUAGAGGUGCCACUAGAACAGCGAUUCCCAACCAGGACAACUGUGCCCCCAGGGGACACUGGAAAAUGCCUAGGGACGGUCCUAGUUGUCACAACUGACAACUAGGAAUAUGAGGUGCGGGUGGGGGUGCUGCUGACAUUAGGGGUCGAGGCCAGGGGUGCUGACCGCUUCCUACAAUGCUCAGGGUGCCCCCACAACAAAGAACGAUGCCGUCCUAAAGGUCCGCAGUGCCAAGGCUGAGACGCCCGACUGUGGACCAUCAGAAACCACAUGGGGAAGGGGAAGGGCAAAGACAAGGGAUCCUCACUGCUGCUCUGACCACAGGUGCCCACGCCGGGCGGCCACAAAGAAGGCAGGUGGGAGCAAAGAGAGACAGAGGGGCUCAUGCAGCCACGCACGCAUGGGCGAACCCACUGAGUGGUCAGGUGAGAAAGAAAAAUGCAGCCAAACCACCGGCCCUGCACUGUCCAAGGGCGGCCCCGCCCCGGCCGCAGGCCCAAGGCUUCACUGCCUGGCAAUGGGGAGCGGGUGCACGCACCAGGCAGGUUCCUCAGCAUCCCCACUCACACGCCAUGCUCAGAAAGCUCAGGUGCCACAGCCUCUGCACACAAGGGCACAGCCUGGUAGCUGCACGCCGCCCCACCCACCAAGUGUGUCCCCUGCACAGGCUCGCCUGCCAGGGCACGUGUCUGCCUGGCCCUGGUGGGACUCUCCUGCACUCUCCACCUCAGUGAAGAGCCCACCAGGCCACCCAGGCACUGCCCUGCCCACUCACCCCCACUGCAGCCUAUGCCCACACCAUCCAACAGGGAGCUCCCUGCUUCCAUCCCUCAAUUCUCCGAUCCUCCCUCUCCUUCAUCACCGACUCUCCAGGCGGGCGCAGUGGCGUGGCCCUGCCUUGGUGGUGGUGGAGACCUGCCUCCAUCCCUGAAUCCUUCACCCAGCAGCAGUUGGAGCUGUCUUAAAAACAUCAAGACCCACGCCUGGAAUCCCAGCACUUAGGGAGGCCGAGGCGGGCGGAUCAUGAGGUCAGGAGAUUGAGACCAUCCUGGCCAACACGGUGAAACCCCAUCUCUACUAAAAAUACAAAAAUAGCUGGGCGUGGUGGUGCGUGCCUGUAAUCCCAGCUACUCAGGAGGCCGAGGCAGGAGAAUGGCUUGAACCCGGGAGGCGGAGGCUGCAGUGAGCUGAGAUCAAGAUACUGCACUCCAGCCUGGAGACAGAGCGAGACUCCGUUUCAAAAAACAAACAAACGAAAACAUCAACACCCCAUCACCUCCAGAAGCAGAACCCUCCAGCUGCCUCCCACUGUACCCAGAAGAAAACCCAAACUGCUCCCUUGUGGCUUCCUGCGUUAUUAGGCCUCAACCUACCUCUUCUAACUCAUCUCCACUUGCACUGCGCCCUCCCUGGCCACACUCCCACUGCCCUGGGCUCCUUCUGUUCCCAGAUUCGACUCCUUCCCACCACAGGACCUUCGCACCUAUGCACUUGCUUCUUCCCACAGCUCAAAGCUCACCCCUCAGGGGUCCACCCAGGCGGCUCUGUUUCCUUAUGAUCGGAAGCCCCUUCAUCAUCUACCUUGCACAAUGUCUUCCCCACAAGAGCAGGGUCUCAGCUGCUGCGUCCCAAGUGCCCCAGCACAGCAGGUGCCCAGUGCUGAGCAUCUGAGGCAGGCCCCGGCUUUGCAGGUAGCUGGGAGGCAAAAGAGCCCCCCCGUGGAAUGGCCUCUGCUUCCCAGGCCAAGAGUCCCUGCCCCAAGAAGGCAGAGAAAGCAGUUCAGCCUUGAGCAGCCAGGGCUGGGCAGGCUGGAGGGACAGGCAGGCACGGCUCCACCCAGCAAGUCACAGCUAGACAGGCACAGCCCGCCAGCCUCUGCUCCCCGACCAGGUGCCUGGCGGCCCCGGGUGACCUCAUCACUGCCUCUGGGGAACCACACGCCCCAGGGGGCUGCUGUGAGGAUCUAUUGCUUCUGUGCACCCCAGAGACUUCAGCAGCAUCGACGCCUCCUUGGGCCUGAGGAAUGCUGGGAGGGACAGAGGCCCUCCCUCUCCUAGGACUUUCAGCCCCAGGUCAGGGGGCAGCAGCCAAGAACCCUUGGUGAGCAAAACAGACCAGCGGCCAGGCGCAGUCAGGUAGGAGCCCAAAGGUCGGGGGACCCAAUGCUCAUCAGGGCUGCUCCUGUUUGGCCAGGGCCCACCGGCCUCUUUGGGCACACGGCACUUGCUCCCUCCUCUAGAAGCCACUUUGGAAUCGGCCCUCUGUACGGCCGCUGCUGGAGUCCCACGCGCUCCCCAGGGUUGCAGAGCCACAGCCCAGCUGUAACCUCAAAGGAGAGGGCAGGAGCCUCCUUCCCUUCCAGUUUCCUUCCAAGUUCCGGCCUCAGAACAACCGGGCGUCUGUGCCUCCUCAUCCUCUGCAGAAAACUUCUAUCCUCCCACCAAGACCCCAGAGAAGGGUCUUGCACCAAUCAGAGGCGGAUCUGUUUACCAGAGAAUUAAUCCCACCACGUGUGCAAAGUCCAGGCAGAGCCAAGGAAGAAACCACAGGAAUGGGUGGGACAGACCCCCCACAUGCCACCCAAGCCCCACUGCAACGCUGGACACUGGGCACAGGCACCUAGCUGGGGUCCGGGGUGUCUGCGGAAGGAUGACUCAGGGGUUCUCUGCUUCCCUCUAGUGCCGGAGCCUGGGCAACACCAAACCCCCAAAUCACGGAGCCACUGAAACGGGCCACCAUUAGGGCUGGAAAGGCCAGGCCAUGCCGGGAGGGUUGGGCAUGCAGGAGGAGCUGGCUCUGCCACAGCCCAGGAGAGGACAGGGGGACCCCGAGCCUGGUCCAGACUGGAAAUCUGAGGUGCCUGCCUCCCUUCCCGUUCACACGUGGCCCAGGCAGCAUUUGCACCCCAACACACCCAGGGUCAGCACACAGUCAAGAGCACCCCAGCUGACUCUGUCCACAGAGACUCAGGGGUCCAAGGGCAGGAAGAGCCCCAAGCCCGGAUCCUGGCCAUGCCUGUCCAAGUCGCAUGGACCAUCACUCAGCCCCUCCGGCCUCUGUUUCCCCAUCUGUAAACUAAGGAUGCUGCAGAGUCCAACAGAUUGCCCCCAAGACAGAGGGCUUGGGCCUCCGGCAGAGUCUGAGAACCCCGUGGUGGGCGGGAGAGAGAAGUACAGAUGGUGCUGGGGACACAUGCUGCCCACACUCAAAGCAGAACUCGCAGCGAAAAGAACUGACCACGGCCCAGGAGGACUCAUUUUCUGAACAUAAAGUCGCCUCUGAAAAUAAAAACGAAAAAGGCAAAUGAGCCCAUUUCACUUUCCCUGCUCUCCAGGGGCCUUGCCCCACCUCGGCAGAGACGGACCGCAGCUCUUAGGGUUCUGACUCCCGCCUGGCUGGGUGUGGGAAGGUCCCCGAGGCGCCUGGCAGGCAGGAAGCCAGGCCAUGGCCCUGCCUCCCGGGAAUCCCCAGUGACUUGUGAGGGGGAGGGCCGGGAGGUCUAGGGACAUUCAAGUUCUGUGGGGCAGCCAGCCACAGGACACAGGUCGAACGCCCUCUCUGUGGGGCAAUGCCAGGCCCGGAACAGCAUCUCCACCUGAACCGGCCCAAACUCCAACUCCUGACCUUCUCCCCAAAACUGUACUGCACAGCUGCCUCCACCCCAGUCAGGGCCAAGCCCAUCUCCCAUUUCAAAGGCCCAAAGCUCCAGAAUCUUCUUGGACUCCUCUUUCUUUCCCAGGUUCUUUAAAAUAGACACCCAGAAUCUCACUGUAUCUCACCAGGGCCGCUGGUGCAGGCAGCACCCUCGUCUCAUGCCUGGAUUACUGGGCAUCCUCUAAGGGCCUCCAACCACCACAAUACCCUCGGCAGUCCAGGCUCAACCCAGCAGCCAGAAGCAAAAACACUCUGAAAACAAAAAUGCAGACUGACCCAUCCCUCCUCCGCUCGGAGCCUGCGUGGUCCGGUGUCACUUGGAGGAAUGUAGCAGUGCCUCCCUGGGUCAUCAAAGUCCUCUAGGAGCUGAGGCUACCCUGUCGGGCCCUGAGCCUCCCCGGCUGCUCCCUUCCCCUCCCCAGCUCCUGUCGCCUUCUGAGGCAUGCUGACCUCCUUUGUCUCUGUCCUCCUCUCAGCACCUCGCUGCAGAAAGCACUGUGAUUAGGAGCUGGGACCGGGUCUCCCCUCACCCCCAUGGCAGGCAUCCCCAGCCUGGCACAAAGCAAGCAAAGAUCUGUCAGACAAGCUGACCCAGUGUCCAGCUCCCUACUCUAUCCAAAUGAGAUCAGCAGGAAGGUCCUGAUGCCCGCAAGCACACUGCAGAGUUAUCAGCCUGUCCACCCUGGACACAAGGUGAAACUGAGGCUAAACGAGGAAAGCUCGAGCUUGGGCCUCCACUCAGUCUGUGAUCAGGCUUCUACCCUGAGACAAAGCUGUGCCCCUUGGCCCAAGGCUUCCAGAAGAGGCUCCCCAAGCCCAGCAGCGAGCCAGGGUGAGAACUCAUGCUCGGAGAAGAGCCCCCGCCACCCAAAGGCUGCUUUCUGUUUCAGCAGACAGGACAAACAACAGGUGCGGCACGGGCGCCCGCCCAGGAGGGCCACGGUGCAGCCCACGCCUGGCUCCAGAUGAGCUGCCAAACAGGAAGCCUUGUGGGGGGGCAGGGGGGCGGCGGGGCCACCACGAGACACCCUGAGGGUGAAAACGUGACGCCACAGUGUUGGGGGGAGUCACUUCCUCCCAGCCCCCAUGCCGCCUGGCUCUGACCUCAGCUUCUGCCCCUGCCCUGCGGUGCUCACCCUGUGCCCGCCACGGCGACCUGCAGCUGGCCUGUCACCCUGGGCCUGGGCUGCUCGCUCUUCCCCAGAAGCCAACAGGGCCCAUUUCCGCCAUCCUCAGUGGAGCCUUCCCCAGCACGCCCGCACACGUGUGCGUGCGUACACACACACACACACACACACACACGCCAUCACCUGCAAACAGCUCCUCUGGCUUUGUUUCACUUUGUAUUAUAAAAUAAUAAAAGACUCCCAAGAAGUUGCAAAAACAGUACAGAGAGAUCCUGUGUACCCUACCUCCUCCAUCCCCCAAGGGCACAUCAGAGUAACUAAGGACAUGAGCAAAACCAGGACACUAACCCAGGCACACUGCUAUGACCUGGACUGCAGGCCUUCAGCACGCUGCAUCAUCUUCUACACACACCAACAUUCUUACAUGUCAUGUGUAGUUACACACAAACUGUGAAGCUUUAUCACACACACAGACACAUCUCCCCACCACUGUACUCGAGACGCGGAACUGUUCCGUCCCCACGCAGGCACUCAUUCCGCCAGCUUCCUGUUUAACUGCACGCAUCACCAUGUGGGCCCACGAGUGCACAAACAGAAUGUGAGCACGAGAUCGGGGACCGUGUCUUUCUUAUUCAAAGGAUCCCUGGCACCAGGUCUGGCAUACAGCAAGCACUCAAUAAACACCUGAUGAAUGAAUGAUGCUGGGAGUAGCUGUCGACAUUCUCCCCAGCUUGUGCAUCCCAUGCUCUCAAGGAGACAGACAUCUUCCCAUCACUGCCUCCCCAGUACGUCCUCUUGCUCUGGGGACCCAGGUGCUCUGUCCAGGCCCCGUGGUGUGCACACACCAAGGCCCCGUGAUGGUAAGGGCAGCCAUCUACUACCCAGUGGGCACCAGAGACCUUCACACAAAGGACGUAGGGGUCCCUGAAACUAUACAUGCAGUGGGGCAGGCACAUGCCUGGGAGAGGGUCUCACGGUCAUCAUCAGUCUCGAGGCCUUGUGCUCUGAAUCAUCCAAGAGCUGCCAUCUAGCCAGAGGGAGGCGUUGAGUCCUUGUGGGAGGGACAAGAGUCUCGCAGCCCACAGCUCAGGCCCCACCAUCCUGGGAUGUGUGAACUCAGCAAGUCUCUCAGUUGCUCUAAGCCUCGGUUUUGCACAGGUAAUCAAUCAACAGACCCUGAAGCAGGGCCGGCAAGAGAUGCGUCACUGACAAACCGUGACUUCCCAGGGCCAGGCCCUCCACACACAGUCAAGUUGGCCCUGUAGGGAAGGCAGUGUGACCGUUCUCACUCACAGAUGGGGAGGAGCCUGCAGAGACAGGCUGGGCCUGGCCUUAAGCCCAGGCAGACCCCCAGGGCUCUUGCUCCUGGAUACAGCCUGUACCUGACACUCCGGAGUCCGAGGAGCCUGUCUUCUCAUCUCAGAGCCCCUGUGGUGGCCGUGUCCUGUCACCCAGUUGUGGCCAGUGAGACUUAAGUGGAAGCCUGUUGUGGCCUCUGUGAAAACUUCCAUUUUUCUGCUAAAAAAGACAGAGGCAGUUCGUACUGGCCCUUAUUGUCCUUUCUGCCCUGAACGUGGGUGGGAUGUCUGGAGCCGUGGCAGUCAUCUUGUGACCAUGAGGCAAGGUCCAAGAGACUCACAGAUACUGGUCCUCAUGCCACUAAAUCCAGGGGACAUUUGGCAAUGUCUGGAGACAUUUUUGGUAGUCAUGACUUGGGCGAGGCAAUGCUACUGGCUUCUAGGGGUGGAGGCCAGGGAUAUUCCACCCCCUUCAAACGUUCUAUAAUGUACAUAUGAGGCACUCUGUGAACGGGAGUCAAGGCCACAGCCAGGCCCCCUUAACAGGCAGGGAGACCCGCACCCAGGGAAGCAGCUGGCCCUUCAAAAAUAACCCAAGGAGAGGCUCUGGGUGCAGCUAGUCCCAGGACAAACCUCUGCUCCCGGUGCCCUCAGCCCAAGAAUGGACAGACACCCCUUGACACAGGGCACCGUUCCAGGCCAGACUAAGCUCUGCCUGGACACAGACCCUCUCCAGACUGCUGCACCUCCCCUCCCACCGGCAGGUGACAGACACACUCAGCUGGCAGACACCCUUGGUGGGCCACGGCCACCGGCUCCUGCUGUGACUACCACGUGCUUGCCACUGCCGAGGAAGGCUCCUCCAAACCGCGGACAGUGGCCACAUACAGUUAGGUCAGAAAUGCACAGGUGAGUUAGGUCUCACAGAGCUUGUUCAACUUAAAAAAAGGAAAAGAGGCAAGGAAACUCCGGCAAAUAGCAUAAAGUGUAAAGUUCUUUGGUAAAUCAUUCUAAACUAACAUUUAAGACCCAGCCAGGCGAAGAAGAUUCCACAGGGUCUUGCCUAAAAGCAGAGCUGUGGGAUCUUCAGAGUUGUCCAGGGCAAGGUAUAAAAGGUCGGGGUCAGAAAGUCAAGGAAGAGUUCAGCCAGGCACGGAAGGGGUUAACUGGUGGACAACCCUCAGCUGCCUGGGCUCCUGGCUCCCACCUCCCUCCAUGCCCUCAGCCAACAGCAAGUCGCUGCCAGCCCAAGGCCGACAAAACUGGCCGCUGAGUCAGGCCCGGCUGUGCUCCCGGGGCCUGAUUGUUCACAAAGACAAAAGGGACGCUGACGGCCCAGCUCUCCAGCUCCGGCCCAGCUCUCCAGCUCCGUCAGCGGGCGGGGGCUGGGGGCAGACAGCUGACCCAGGCAGCCUGCCCCGCUGCCUCCCUGGAGCUGCACCCGGGAGCCUCCCCCUACCCACCUCAGUAAGGCCCAGGCAGGGGCAGGAGGCGGCGCGAUUCUCAGAGGCUUGAGUUCAGAUCUCCCAGGAAGCCAAGAGCGGAUGGCCCCUCUGACACCGUCCCUGUUUGGGUCUCCACCCUUUGGCAACCAACAAAUAGAGUCUGCGGCCUCUUCAUCGUCACAAGUAUUAAAUGGCCAGCCAGCAGAUUUAGUUACAAAACACCGUCGCCUGAAGUCGGGGGCACACAGUGGCAAACUCUGUGACCGAUCCCAACUGCUUCUGGAUGGGUGGUGUUCACAGGACUCCAGGACAGCAAGGGAAAGGUCGGGCCAGGGCCCUUCCCACCGUCCCCCACCAAGAAAGCAUGCGUUCAGGCACCCACCACCUGUGUUCCAAUCUCCUCCCGGACGUCUAUUACCUCACGCCUCCCCACCCUGGCCCUGCCACCCGCCCCCAGGCCCAGACAGGUGGUUAGCCUUUCUCUGCCUCAGUUUCCCCAUCUAUAAAGUAAGAAUGGUUUCAGUCCCAUCCUCAGAGGCCUGCUAUGAGGACAGGAGAGGACUUCUGAGGAGGCCAGAGCACCCAGCCCACAUGCCUGUGCACUGUUUUAAGCAGUUAAUGUUCCUGUUUUCCGGAUGAGGAUGCCACUGCCAAGACAGACCCAGCUGGUAAGGGGCAAAGUCAGGAUUCGAACCCACCUCUGCAGGCCCCAGAGGCCAAGCACUGAUGGGUAUGGAGUCCCAGAGGUAGCUGUGUGGAUCAGAGCGAGCCCAGACGCACGUGGGAAGGCCUUAUCCCACUGUAAGCAGAAAAGAGCUGCAGGCACUGGAGGCACACACCCUCACCUCUGGGCAGCUGCUCCCGCCCAGUCCAUGCCCCCAGGCGCCUGCUGUGGGCCUGGGGAAUGGAGCCAAGGUUCUGGAAAACAAGGAACACCCUCUUCAUGUGGCCUGAACCCCAUAGGAAGAAUCUCGGUGAAGGCAUGAAGGCUACAGUGUCCCCAAACACCCUCUAAGACGACUCUAGACAUCUACAAAACAGAUUCCAGGACGAGACGGACAGGGCCGCCUGCUCCCACCACCCUACACGCUCCCUUCCCAGGAGGACAGAGGCACCCCGGCAGGAACCUGAGCUGCCCGGCCACUCGCACAGGCUAGAAGGGCCCCGGCCACCCUCCAGCACCCCUCAGCCAGCGGCUCCUCCCACUGCUACACUUGCACACAUCCACCAAUACACACGGAAGCCGGCAGGGAGCCCCCGAGUCACCCCAAGCGUUCCCAAAAAGUGGGCACAGCAACUUCUGCUGGGGCCUCUGACCCAUUCACCUGGGAGCCAGGCCCCAGGGGACCCAUUCACCUGGGAGCCAGGCUCAGCCGGGUUCCACAGGAUCCUUGUCCACACUGCCCCAGUCAGGCAGGUUACUCCUCAAGCUGUGUCUCUCUCAAUGGAAUCUACGUGGUGCGCACAUGCGUGAGCACACACACGUGAUCAACUGGCAUUAGGGAUUUGGAUUCAGAAAGUUCAUGAAGUGCCAAUGCCCUGAAAGGGGUGGUGGUCUCUGAGCUGCCUUCCCCUCCAACUCCAACCCCAUCAAUAUGCCACGGCGCUAGGGCAGACAGCUUCCAUCCAUCAUGGGGGUGGGGAGGCAGGCCGCAAGGCAGGACUCUUUGUAUCCCUUAAGUGUGUGUGUCCCUCCCCAAGCAGCUGCCAGGACUUACUAGAUGUUUUAAAAAAGGGCAGGGAGGUGGGAGGCGUUUUAGGAUGGAGAAGAGUGGGCUGCGCUGCUUGUAAAUGAGUCAGACUAGAAGCCCAUAGGCCAGGCCACUCAGGCAGGUGGCCUCCACCCCAAACACAUCGUAUCUACAGCAACGUUCACAAACAUCAGACCUUGGUAGCAAUGACCUACUGCCACCACCUGCCCCAGCACUAGAACAGGUGAGAGGAGUGCCUGGGGAAGAACUCAGCCUGCCAGUCCCUAAGAGUCAUCAGCAAACACUUCAAGAGGGCGUUACCUGCACCAGGCCCACCCUAGGCCCUCCAUUCAGAGAACUCAGAUGUGCUGUGACCACUCCCAUUUUACGGGUGAGGAAACUGAGGCCACACACCUAGCGAAGGGAGCUGGGGUGUGUACCAAGGCAGGCAGGCUCCAAGGCUCACCAUCCCCUAGGUGGUAUGGCCUCUGCCAGGGAUGGAGAAGUGCAAUCUGCCUUCUCUUCACUCCCUUGGCUUAAACGCAAUCAAAUGUCUGAAAACUGUCAUUUCCCCAGCCUUCCAGACCCAGGAAGCCCAAGGCCCUCUCCACUUCAUCUCCACGGACUACCCACCCCAAGCCAGCCAUGUCCACUCACCCGUAAGUCCGCUGGAUCAAGGUGGGGUGCAGCUGCUGCACCCCAAUGGCAAAGCCUAAAACGAGAGAACAAUCAGGGACUUGGCCUUGCUGCACGAGCCACGUCUCAAGGGCUGCACACAGGGUGGCAGAAUCCCACAAGCCACACACCUCUAGUCAAAAGGGAUCAUCCGCUUCCUCUCCCCUCCCAGGCCUCCCCCUUGUGAACCCCAAGGCACACCGCUGAAGUGUGGCAGUGAGUGACGCAGGUGUCAGCAGCCACUGGUGUCGGCACUCCCAACCUCCAGGCCCCAUGGCCACUUCCUCCCUCCUGCGAGGACAGCUGGCAACUGGGGUGCAGUACCCUCCCUGCCCCCCGCCCCCUUCUUUGGGCCACACGCUGUGAGAAGGGGUCUAGAUCCUCGAGGGGGGGAUGGCUGCCCUGUGCCGGCUCUGCAGGCACAUGAUAGCCGACUGCCACUGCUGGGGCGAGGAGGGGGGGCCUCUUUCCACCCGACAGAUACCGACACCCAAUAUAGAAACCGAGAAGAGCCAGGCAGGAAAACACAAGCUCUCACCCGUCUGGAGGCUCCGCGGCUUGGCGCCCAGAUAUGCCAGGUUCACGUUGGCCUUGCGGCCGUCGAUGAUGGGGUUCGGGUCUUUGCAAGCCCUCUCAGCUGCCGCCCGGUCGGCCAUGGUCACCUGGUGGAGCAGAGACACAUCAGGGGCUGCCGUGGGGGGAACCAGGGGCGAAAGGGGCAGACGGCUCCGCCCUGGCACCGGAUGCUGCCACCCCUCUCUUCCCUUCCUCUGAGGGUGCCUGUGACCCAGGGUCCUUGAGCCAAAGCUCCUCUGAACCCUACCUGGGGCUCUCCCACAAAGAUGCCUCCUGGAUUCCAGCUCCUCCCGUCAAAGUUCAAGGCCUGGGAAAUGUGGCCUUCAAGGACAAAAAUAAUCCCCUGCGGGGAUAGGGCAAAAAUGAACCCCGAAGGGAGCUUGGGGGGCCGCCUGGACUUGCCCACCAGUGAGGGCCGAGACUUUCCUCUGAGAAGGAGUUUGCGACGCUAUGCUUGGAAGGCAACCGUCAGGUGCUAAGCAGAACCAUGCUUGGGCCUUCCACACCAGUCAAGGUACUCUCACAGCAAAGCCCCACCGAAGGGGCCCACAGGUUGGAUUCGAGGUACGUGAAGUCCCAAGAGAUGACAUGAAGCCCCAAAUGGAUGCCCUGGCUCCCCAGCACCAGAGGGAAACGCCCCCUCACCGAAGACAGUGGCAAGUGCCAUGCUUCAAGUAACACAGGGAGCGGCCUCCAGUGCACCUGUUUUAGCAGCCAGUCCUGGAGGCAGAAAGAUUUACAAGGGAGUGGAAAGGCUGGCAAACACAGGACACAUGGAGAUGCCCAAAGUCAGUGGGGGUCAGGGUUCAACCUGGAAAUGCAGUCUUCUCAGCUGAGGAAGGCAGUGAGUCCUGGCCAGGAAGCCGGUCCAAGCCCCUGCCUCGUCCCCAGUUCACCUCGUGAAAGCUGAUGAAUGACCAAUGCUUGCAGAGGGGUCUGGAGUAAUGGCGGCACCGUAUUAAGGGGCGAUCAGGCUGUAUCUUGACACUGGGAUUCAUAAGAGGAGGAAGAAACCUAUCAUGCUGACGGGUAGUGAAGAAGAGAAAUGAAAGACAAAAGACACAAGAGAAGGCCAGGUGCAGUGGUUCACUCCUGUAAUCCCAGCUACCUGGGAGGCUGAGACAGGAGAAUCGCCUGAACCCGGGAGGCAGAGGGCGCACUGAGCUGAGAUCACGCCACUGCAGUGCAGCCUGGACGACAGGGCGAGACUCAGUCUCAAAAAAAAAAAAAAAAAAAAAGACACCAGAGAGUGCUGCCGCCAGUGAGCUGACGGAAUCCGCAGUGUGGAUUCGGGCCCGUAGGAUGCUGGGGAUUGUCAGUGCCUUCUUUGAGCUUUGUCUCCUCCCAUACUGCCUCCUCUGCACCACAGUCAGGAGGGAAAAAGAAUAAAAGAUUAAGAAUGCAGGUCAGUUCUUUUUCGGGAGCCGAUUUACAUUUUAAGCAAGUAUGCAACAGGUGUUUCUCAUUGGCUUUCGAAACAGCCCUCACCUGAAAAAAUAUUUUUCAAUAGAUUGAUGCAAAAUUCACAAUAGGCUCUUAGACUGUGGUGAUGGUUUCAUGGGUGUAUGUUUAUCUCCAAACUCAUCAAGUUGUAUAAGUUAAAUAUGUACAGCCUUUUAUAUGUCACACUUCAAUAAAGUGUAAAAACUCACACAGUCGGCUACGAAACUGUUUACACUGCCCAUAUUUGCCUUACAGUGACCUAACACCUGUCAUAAUAAAACCCUCAAAGGUGCAGCCACAACCUCUCCUGGCUUCUCCCAUCUCCGUGGGAUAAAUGUAGGCCGUGAGAUAGGGGAACCGCAGUGAGCAGGAAGACCUCGCAGAGCUGUGAAACAUUGCCAGGCUCUGAUUAACAAGCCAGUACCUUGCAAGGAAAUACAAUGCUUGUGUUGAGACUGCCUUUCCUAAACACUAUAGCCAGGCCCUGGGGUCUGGGGCUUAUACAGCUUUUUAAGAGCCUACAAAAAUGUUGAAGGGCAGAGAGGUAGAAAGAAAGAAAAAGAGAACUGGCUUGAAGAUAUUUAAAAACAACAACCCCAGCCUGGGUGUGGUGGCUUACACCUGUAAUACCAGCACUUUGGGAGGCCAAGGCGGGAGGACUGCUUGAGCGCAGGAGUUUGAGAUCAGCCUGGGCACACACGGUAAAACCCUGUAUCCACCAAAAAUACAAAAAAAUAAAAAAUAAAUAAAAAACAGAGCCUGGUGUGGUGGUGCACACUUGUAGUCUCAGCUACUCAGGAGGCUGAGGUGGGAGGAUACUUGAGCCCGAAAGGCAGAGGCUGCAGUGAGCCGAGAUUGCACCACUGCACUCCAACCUGGGAGAUACAGCAAGAUGCUAUCCUCCCCCCAAAAAAACCAAAAACAAACAAGAAAAAUCCCCAAAUUAAUCCGUUUAAGUAAAGGCCUACAAAUGUAAUACUGGAGACCUCACAAACUAUUUAGUGUUCUAAUAUCCAAUCAAUUUGAAAACAAUUUGUAGCUUUGUAGGAAACGCUGCACUUUGUGAGAAAUUCCCUAUUAUUCGAGGUCAUGAUUAAGAAAUCAACAUGGAGUGUACGCUUACGGCCAAAUCAUUUCAGAAGUAAAAUAGGAAAGUUUUUCAAAGAAUUUGCCUUCAAAACAAUGUGUAUUUAAAGCAGGAUGUGGGUGCAUUUUAAUAUUUGGUGUGGAGUGGUGGGUGACACCUCCAAAAGUCAGAUGACCUAGUGCAGUGAUGUCCCAGAGAAAGAUGAAUACAACAUGAGCCACGAAUGGAAUCUACAAUUUCCAGUAGCCACAUUUUAACAAAUAUAAGCAGGGGAAAGUUAAAUUAUCCAAAAUAGUAUCAUUUGAAUGUGUAAUUGGUAUGAAAAUUAAUGGCAUUUACAUUAAUUUCAAGAGCAUGUGUUUAGUUCAUUUUUUUUGGCGCUAAGCCUUUGAAAUCUGCUGUUUUAGGUUUACAUCUCAAUUCCAACGGGCCACAGAGCCUCAAAGUUACUAACACGAGUCUUAAAGUGACCUGUUUGCCACCACCAGGGAUUUGUGUUUCCCAUAUCACGGCAGGGAUGAUGCUAUGGGGCACGGGAGUGCUCAGAGGCCCCCACACCGCGGGCGCCAAGGCUUCAGUGUUCCACGAGGAAACCAUCGCGGACAUUAAGUUUGAAACAGAAAAAUCAGGGUCCCACCUCUGACAAAUUAUCUCCUUUAGCAUUUUCCAAGGAGGCCUUCAAUCUAAGUGUGUUAUUUUUAAGACGAUUCUUCUGACAGCAUAAGCAAUGUUUUGAUUCUACUUCCCAAAUAUCCUAAAAGCUUAGCAACACAACAAAAAAUGGAAGGGGGUGGCCAACACUUCAUUUCUUUUAAUGAACUCAAGUCUGUGAAACUGAACACAGAAACACAUGCUCCAAUGUUGGCAUUGGGGCCAUUCGCGCCAUCUGCUGGCCAGACCUAAGCACAACACCCGGCUCCUGGGGAAAGAAUCUUAGAGACAAGCAAGAUCUCCAGUCACUUGGUCUCUGGACCUUUUUGUCCCGCCUGUAUACCGACAGCACAGCCCCAUUGAGCAGGAGACUUCUCAUGGAUGUCAUCCUCACUGGCACUCGUAGUAGCAGCUACAUUCAAACUCCACAUCACGGGCCAGCCACAGGGGCACUUUUACGCUUUAACUCUUUGACUACUCACACAACCAUUAUGAUAGCUACUUUUAAUGUCUCCCAUUUUACAGAUGAGGUCACUGAGGCUCAGAGGGUUAAAUCACAGGCUUAAACAAAGGGUAAAUCACAUGUUAGCAAAGUUGGUGACAGAGUUGGAAUUGAAGGUGGGCAGUCCAAUUUCAAGUACAUGUUUUUUUGUUUUUUGAGACGGGGUCUCACUCUGUCGUGAUCUAGGCUCACUGCAAUCUCCACCUCCUGGGCUCAAGCACUUGAGCAAUUCUCACGCCUCAGCCUCCCCAGUAGCCGGGAUUACAGGCAGGUGCCACCGUGCCCAGCAAAUUUUUGUAUUUUUAGUAGAGACGGGUUUUGCCUUGUUGGCCAGGCUGGUGUGGAACUCUCGGCCUCAAGUGGCCCGCCUGCCUCGGCCUCCCAAAGUGCUGGGAUUACAGGCAUGAGCCACCGCACCCAGCCCCCUGUUCUUAAUUGCAAUGUUAUAAGGUUAUUUCAAAUAUAAUUAAUAUAAUCAUCCCUCCCAUUUUGGGGAGACCUCAAGUGCAGUUAUGGCUUAGUACUUGAGGUCACCGAAGCUAAGAACUCAUCCUAAACCAUACAAAAAGUGACAGGCACAGAGAAGAAUCCCACCCCAGGAUAUGAAAAUAUCUCAUACAUACAUAGAUUCUGUGAUUUUGUGUGGCUCCACUAAAAGAAACGCUCACUGCAACAACUACGUUCAUUUCACAACCUACGAAUGGGUCAUGAGUGAAUUCGGAAAAGGCUGGCUUAGGCACUCCCGAGUGUUCAAGAACAUGUGUUUAGUUCAUGUUUUAGAGUCUCUCCUCCAAAAGAGACGAAAAUUUUGGUUGAAUGAGAAAAACAAACAUUUCCUACAUGACUCAAUAAAAUUUCUUUGAGACAGGGUCUUGCUUUGUUGCCCAGGCUGGUCUGGAACUCCUGGCCUCAAGUGAUCCUCCCGCCUUGGCCUCCCAAAGUGCUGAGACUCCAGGCGUGAGCCACCACGCCUGGCCCUUGCUGUUUACCUUCUCUUGGUGGUGAUUUUCUGGUGAAAGUCAGCAAGCUCACUGCCAGCAGGCCAGGCACUUGCCGCAUCCUUUGUUCUUCCUCUGCCAGAGGAUCUCUGGUGUGAAGCUAACCCGAAAACGGGGUGAGGCAGGCGGGUUCAGCUGGCCCCUUUGACUGAGAGGGUUUUCACAGGCAGGCUCACAUGCACACGUGCACACACGUGAGCACAGGCUCACAGACAGGUGUCUCACACAAACCCACCACAGCUCCAUCCUGCUUCCAACCAAACAUGACAGGAACCGAGUGCACCUUCCUGUGCCCACCCUAAAUCCCUGCCACCUUGUUGCAGCAGCAUCUUUACACAAAGUUCUUCCCAUGAGGCCCUGUUCCCACAGUGAGGAACCAAGGAAGCGAUGUUACAACAAAGACUGGGAGGAAAGCCAGGCAAAACCAAGCAGAAAAUCAAGGGAAAGGUGAGUGUUCAUGGUGGCAUCCUGGUGGCAGGCAGAUGGCAGGUGUAUGUUCACUGCCAAAACCCUUUCCACUUUUGUGGAUGUUUUAAAAUUUUCAUAUGUUGGAAAAAAUUAAGUGAAAGAACACAAUUUGUCUUCUCCAUGAGGUUUAUAUACUUUACUUUCAACGAAAGCAGCUCUUAACAGGGUGUGCAGUCAAUAUUUAAUGGCAGGACGGCUUGACAUUUAGUGAAACAAAGAGCCAAGAUUACACUAGUAUCUCUUUGAAGUAGAAGAUGCCAUCAAACUUAUGAAUACUUAAUGAGCACCUACUGCAUGCAACUUACAGGUGCCUGCAAAGAUGCUGAAGUUUAAGAUGAAGAGUUCCUCUAAGACUUCAUAUGCAUUUUAGGAAACAUGAACAUAAAUAUUUGAAGAAGCUUAACGAUCUCAGUGAAUACUUCCUAGAUCCUCAUUAGCAAACAUGUAGUGUGCUUUUAUGCUUUAGGUCCUGGGCAGCAGAGAAAUGAGCCUGGGCCUCAUCUAGGGUUCACAUCCUGGUGGCAGCAGAGCUCCCUCCCAGGUUCUGACAGCCCAGUCCAAUCUUGGAUUUAUGCAAAUGUUUUAAAUUUGCCAAUUACAAAAACUAUCCCCUUGGGGAGGUGGCAAGGUCCCAUCCUGGGAAAGCGCACUCUAAAAGGCCUGCAAUUUAGACUCAUUUUCCACCCUAGCCCGUCACUAGGGGUGGUAAAAACAAUGAAACUCUGGCUAAGCUAAAGCUGAAUAUGAAAGUUGGCUGCUGAGAUAAUCAAGCUUCAAUCUCCCCUCACAGCAGUCUUAUGCUAGCUAGAUCUUCCCCACGUUGAUAAGACCACAGGCUUGAUUCAUAAAGUGAAGAGGAAAAUGAGCUGGAAACCGUUAACCUGAAAAUUCAGAUAUUUUUCUAGUGCACCUGCUUUUUUAUCUCUAAAAAAUAAGUUUUCGG
rnacentral:lncRNA from 1 species